UACGAAGGGGGCUAGCGUUGCUCGGAAUCACUGGGCGUAAAGGGUGCGUAGGCGGGUCUUUAAGUCAGGGGUGAAAUCCUGGAGCUCAACUCCAGAACUGCCUUUGAUACUGAAGAUCUUGAGUUCGGGAGAGGUGAGUGGAACUGCGAGUGUAGAGGUGAAAUUCGUAGAUAUUCGGAGGAACACCAGUGGCGAAGGCGGCUCACUGGCUCGGUACUGACGCUGAGGAGCGAAAGCGUGGGGAGCGAACAGG
rnacentral:rRNA from 1 species